rnacentral:rRNA from 1 species
AACGAACGCUGGCGGCAUGCCUAACACAUGCAAGUCGAACGAGACCUUCGGGUCUAGUGGCGCACGGGUGCGUAACGCGUGGGAACCUGCCCUUAGGUUCGGAAUAACUCCCCGGAAGGGGUGCUAAUACCGGAUAAUGUCUUCGGACCAAAGAUUUAUCGCCUUUGGAUGGGCCCGCGUUGGAUUACCUAGUUGGUAGGGUAAAAGCCUACCAAGGCGACGAUCCAUAGCUGGUCUGAGAGGAUGAUCAGCCACACUGGGACUGAGACACGGCCCAGACUCCUACGGGAGGCAGCAGUGGGGAAUAUUGGACAAUGGGCGAAAGCCUGAUCCAGCAAUGCCGCGUGAGUGAUGAAGGCCUUAGGGUUGUAAAGCUCUUUUACCCGGGAUGAUAAUGACAGUACCGGGAGAAUAAGCGCCGGCUAACUCCGUG